GUGUGGGGGGGGGGGGCGCAGUGUGCGGGGGUCCAGAGGACAGAGACAUGACUGCAAGAUCAAGGUCAAUGUGGUUUUUCUUAUGCAGGAGAUUACGUCAUUCAUACUUGAAAUUCCCAUGCAGAACAAUUUGAUUAAAUACUUAUACGGUCCAGGUCACCCAGCGGUGGGGGAAGAAGACAAACAGCCCAAGGCACUUGAUCAAAGAUCCCAAGUUUCACAGACAGCAACGGUAGGUGCCUAACUGUGGAGGGUCGAUGCGCUAAAAUAUUUACUAACACGUUAUUCUCGAUGUAUGAAGCACUACCCCGAGCCCUGUCUCUGUGGAAGGGAACACGCGUAAAAACUUAAAAAAAAAAGUGCACCCACAUAAAGCUGAGUUAUGGCUACAAGAUGAGUCUCCCUUCCAUAUAAGGAACGCUUGGAAGAGAGUUAUGGACGGGAUCAUCUGUUAUUUCUCUGGGCCCGAAGACACCAAAGCCUGCGAUAAUCUUGAGUGGGAACAACUAUAUUCUCCAACGUCUCUCCUGUCUCUGAGACAGGGGUUUCAGACAGGGUGGCCUCAUCACUUAUAGAGGACAAUGGAAGCAGCUGGUGGAUUCCAUGGGACGGAAGAUACCAGAGCUGUCCCCAGGCAGGGGGCUCCUUGUUGGAAACUCAGUCCGGGAAAUAGUUUGGAGAACUUUCUUUGUGCCGGACAGUCUGCCCAUCCAGGACAACGGAGCGUUCCCGGAUGCGUGUGACAGCCCUCAGGGAAGCCUGUUGCUGUAAGGGCUCGAAAGAGAACGGCGUGGGGGGGGCUCUGCACGGACAGGUGGCAUUCGAGACGGGCGUGCAGGACGGUGGGUGCUGCUCCUCCCUGGGUCUUCAUGCAGACUGCCCCCCCCCGCCCUCAUUUCCGGCCAGCAGCCGCUUCCAAGGAGGCAGCCAGCGGGCACCGUGUCCUUCCCCACACUGGGAGGAGCUGUGGGCACCAGUCACGGACAGCGCGUGCGUGGAGGGCAAUGUUCCCAGAAGCGUGGGAGUGGGGCCCAGCCGGGCAGCUGCCCUCCCAGAUUCUGGGCCACAGCCGUCUGGCCCCGGACGAAGAAGAGGCAUGCAGGGGGCAAGGUGCUGUGGGUUCUGGAGCGACCUUGUCACCCCAGGCACCAUCGCUGGCCUUCUCCAGGGGGUGCACUGUCCCCUGCGCACAGGGUCCCACCAGCGCAGCUGCAUCCCCGACGUGGGUGAGCCCUGCUCCAGCCAGUCUCUGGUCUCCUGCCCUUGGGUCUGCUGUACCGCAGGACAGGGACCCGUGUCCCUUCUAGAAGAGCCUGCCCUUCUGCGUGGUCCACUUGGCUUGUGGGAAGGGUAAGAGAGGCAGAGACGGUGCCAGACUGAUGCUAACCUGUUCCCCUGGUCCUGCCAGGAGCCUCUUCGGGCACGAGGCCCCCAGGCUUCCUGUAAGGAGGGUCUCUGGGGGCCCCUCAGCCAGACAGCUCAGUGGGAGCCCUCUGCAACCCUCACUUAGCUCGCAGUCAGAACGUGGGGCCGGGGAAGGACCCUCCAGGGAAAGAAGGGGAGAUGCCCUGUGUGCCCAGAUUCCCCCAAGAGAAAGAGCGUCUGACAAAGGCAUGGAACGCAGACCAGGCCCCGGGAGGAAGCGCGCAGAUCUCAGGCAGGGAGAGGGCCCUUCAGGCUGAGAUUUCCUUCUGGAAUGCUAGGUUGCAUUUGUUCCAGAAUAGUAACAAGACAGUCCCCACUUUGGAAAGAAGCCGCCUUUGAUGUAUUGUCUGGUGGCAGACCACAGCUUCCCCUGGUCCACAAACAGGACGUGCACCAUGAAACACCGUGCCCAGCUGAGCCCAAGGGAAGAAGGUCUGGCCAGUAGAGGAGCGAAAGUCCAGCCUGAAAGACACGCGUGUCCUCAUAAUGCCGGGACGUUUCUCUGAUGUAAGGUAGGGAGCUCCCCGUCACCAGAAGUGUUCAAGCAGUCUGUACAGCCGUGUGACGCCAGACUUGAAGCUUCUUGCCAGUCCUGCUAGACUGAAAGCAACUUAAAGAGACCUCAGACCACCCCCUGUCCCCCGGUGGUUUGAAAGCUCAGACUGUGACCCAAUGCGGAUCAUUUCUGGCUUACCAAGGGAGCUCCGCCAUCAUACUUCACGGGGUGGGGGGUGGGGGUGUCUGAAUCUUUUAUGGUUUUGUUCCCAGCCUUGUGAGGUCGGUGGGGGGCGAACCCUUUAUUUCAGGAAGGUAGCAGGAGCUGAGAGGAGCGUGUGUUCAAAUUCACAUUCCCCUAUGUUUUUGGAGUCCCAGGGAAAGGCUCUGACUGGCCAGAGCCCUCUCCCCUGCACCUCGUUAUUGCCAGGCUCACCCAAGCUGCCACAGUCUGUCAUGCAAGGAGCGCUUCAUCUCAAGACCUUGGCUUUGGAGGGGAAAAGGGGGGGAUGCUUGCCCCACCUUUGCAAUGUAUCUCUACGGUGUAUCAGUUGCCUAUAAAAUUCACACGUCACUUUUGAAAUUUAAAAACGGCUGUUUUAACAUUGCUCAGUUGGACCGGGGUGAUCCCCAUCACAGCUCGGCCCCCUUUGGCAUAGAGCCGACUCAUCAACCCAGCGAUGCCAUCUGAAGUCUGAAGCAAUGGCUAGUUCUUCAGAUUGCCUGCAACCGAAUGACCUGGAAAGAAGGAAUGCACAGCUAGCGAACGGAGUGUUGUUUCAUGUGCGGCCUGACUUCUCCGGCCCUGGCGUUCCAGACCUACAGUCCCGUGGCCUGCUCUUGGCCGGCUUCCCUAAGUCCUAAACGUCCCGACCUUACACCAACACCUCGUGUGGGGGCCUCUCUCUGGGAUGAAGGUCGUCGGGGAGGCAAGGCGAGUUUGUGAUAAUUACACUCUCGAAGGGGUAAAGCCUGUUGAUGGUUGCCACGUGGAGACCGUGAACCUGUGUGGUCAAGUUGUUUCUCCCAAGUAAGUCGUUAGCUGCCCGGGUCCUUCUUCCUGGGUAGGAACAAACACUACAUGCCAGCCUCCGAAUUUGGAAUCGUUCUUCGGGUGUGUGUGUGUGUGUGUGUGUGUGUGCACGUGUGUGUGCCGGUGAGCUGGCACUCACAAGCCGUCUGUGACUCAGAGGCACCCAUGAUCCCUCCCUCUUCUGUCUUUCUGUUUGGACUCAGACCCCCUCUGCUCGGCAGGCAUGUGUUUGCUGCGGCUCCAAAUCUCCACUUGUUCUCCGCCUUCUGCGGCUGCUUCUCAGGGCACCGCCACCCCGGCCAGCAGCAACAGAGGAAACACAGGAAAACCUGGAAAAAUAUUUGUUUCACUAGCAGAAGUGAUCUGCGUGAGGCUCCGAGGGAUCCGGGUCCGUUUUUAACUGGCUGGCCGAGAGCCGGGCCGGAUGAGUUUUCCUGCAGGACUGUUUUUG